GAAAUUCAUUCUGUUGUUUGCUUUCCUUAUUGUAAAUGGUUUCUUCUCAUUCAUAGUUUACAGAAGAUGUUGUGUUAAUGAAACGGCUAAUAAGCCAAAGGCUGUGGUUCAGCUACACACAGAGCCUUGUUCAAAGCAGCCCAAGCCACACUAGACUUGAGAACAUUUUCUCUCUCAGCCCUAGAAAUGUAUUCUAAAAUUUAUUUUUACAGCAUUUGUAACCUAAAAUUAAGAUGAUUCAAAAGAACAUUUUUUCCUGAGAAAUCACACUUCAUCUGGUCUAUAUAGGGUUCAGCAGAGAUCUUCAAAAUCUGUUUCUUUCGAAAAAUAGAAAAAAGAUGGGCAAACAAUAAGCAGUCCUUAUGUAUAAGAUGCUAUUUGUGAGGCACUUUAAUUUUACUGAAAGAAGUCAUUAAAUUUGGAUUGCCAAUACAAAUAUGAUUAUAUAUGUUUUCUAAAUAAAAUGUUAUUAUGUUGCAACUGAACUCAUCCAUUUAUUGUUUGUUUACCUAGUGCUCAAACACAUGUUUUAUUCAUAGAUGUCUGGGAGGAAAAAAUUUUGCUUGAUAAUCACACCAAGCAUAUUUAACAAAAGCGAUUCUCCUUUUAUUAGUGAACAAGUUUAAGCAGAAUGAUUUCAUUUUUUUUUUCCAUUUGGUUAAUUCAGACUUGCAGAAUCCUCAGUAUACAGCUUUUGUUUCUCCGCCUGCUGGCUUUUAUGCCUUUAAUGUAUGCAUGCCUAUCCACUGAUGGGAAAAUAUCAUUUCCUCCAAGUCUUCCUUUUUCCUUCUUGACUAUAUUCUCAGUUGAUUUCUGGUUUUGGUUAGAUUUCACUAGCUACUUCUGUCAAAUCAUAUACAAGACAAUCAAACUGAAUCCCAGUAAAAAGUUCACUAUCCUGUUGGAGAUUUUAAACUCUCUUUCACUGAAGCAAAUGAGAAUUCUAAAUAUAUUUACUUAUCCCUUUAAAAAUAAAUAUCUGUAUUCUAAAAUAAAUUUAAAAUGUUAG
rnacentral:lncRNA from 1 species